rnacentral:rRNA from 1 species
UCCUAAGUUAAAGCUUGUUGAAAGAUAGUGUCCCGUUCGGGGGAACUGAGACAGGUGGUGCAUUGGUUGUCGUCAGCUCGUGUCGUGAGAUGUUGGGUUAAGUCCCGCAACGAGCGCAACCCUUAUUGAUAGUUACUAACGCGUAGAGGCGAGGACUCUAUUGAGACUGCCGGGGACAACUCGGAGGAAGGUGGGACGACGUCAAAUCAUCAUGCCCCUUAUGAUCUGGGCUACACACGUGCUACAAUGGCCGAUACAGAGAGAAGCGAAAGCGCGAGCCGGAGCGGAUCUCACAAAAGCGGUCGAAGUUCGGAUUGUGGGCUGCAACCCGACUACAUGAAGGUGGAAUCGCUAGUAAUCGCGGAUCAGCAUGCCGCGGUGAAUACGUUCCCGGGCCUU